rnacentral:lncRNA from 1 species
CUUGAAAGACAAGAAUACGGAGUGACGGGUUGGAUUUAGAGAAAAUGAUUUGUUUCUUUCAUAUGUUUCUGAUGUGUUCAUCAGCUGCAAAUGACCUCCACAGAGAGUUUCUUCAUCACAUUAGGACACGGGUCUCCUCCAAACAUUUCUGGUGCUACAGUCACUGAGCAGAAGUUCUGUCCAACACAAAGCUGAAAGCAUGAAAACAUAUGUCAAUGUUCAUGUAGCAAUGACCCAAAAUGCAAAGAGUUAAUGUAACAACGUAUCAUACCCUAUUAAAAGCAUCAUAAGAGUGGUGAGCAUGACAGCUUCCUUCGCGGUAGCUUCCACAGACCCCUUCCGGUGUUCCGAAACUGGCAAACUUAACUGCUGAGAUUUUUUGCCCAGCAUCGCACUCUAAAUGCACUUUUGGCCUUAGGGGUUUGUUGACUUUACCAGAGGCUUUCAUCAGGUAAUUCAUUAGGUUAGGUUGCCACUCGUAGAUAUCAGCACAGACACUGUCAGUUUCUCGGCGUACCAAAGUAAUUCCAUUCGGAUCUCCACCCCAUUCCUCAAACACAACCAACAAAUUCCCUGUUGGGUUGAGCCAUGAACGAGGAACAUGGUACCUAUAUUAAGUUAGUAACCACAAGUCAGUCUAUCGAAAACUCCUAGAUUGUCGGAGAAACAGAAAAGCAGAUUGGUUUUGUUCUAGCUUACCAUCUUUGAGAGGCCUCUCCACAAUUAGUUCCACAUUUCUUCUCAUUAAAUGUUCCGGCAUAACUACAGACACCACAAUUUCCAGAUGCUUUAUAUGCAGGCCAGUGGCGUCCAAUGCUCUUUCCAUUUAUCCAAAUCUGGCCUUUGCCCAUACUACCCAUAUCUAAAGCCAAUGGAGAAU